rnacentral:lncRNA from 1 species
AAAAAUUAACUUUUCUCACAAGGUAUUACUCAAUAAUUUAGAAUGACACACUUAGACACUACCUAACCACCCAUUAUACACUAAACCGUGAGAGAACCCCAUCAACUUUCGCGGCCUUCAAACAUCACCGUGGGCUAUGAUAUUCCCUCCUUAUCCGUUGGCCAUCUAGGACUUUUAUUUUGUCAACUUCCAGACUUCCACCGUGGGCUAUGACAUUCCCCUCCGUAUCAUUGGCCAUCUAGGACUUUUCAUUUUGUCAUUUUCAGACUUUCACCGUUGGCUAUGACAUCUCCCUCCGUAUCUUUACCAUCUAUGACCUUUAUUUCUGGGCUUAAUAUAAGCCACUCAUUUCGGUAUAUUUUAGCGUGUCAUUUCUAAAAUAAAUUCUCAUUCUCAACUUCCAAAUUUCAUUUCUAACCCAAAUUCAUGUCUUUGUAAACUUUUUAUUUAACAAUCACUUUUCAAAUACUUUCACAGUAUCAUAAAAUCAUCUUUAAUCAAUCAAGUAAUGUCAAAUAAUUUUUAUAAGCAUUUAUGAGUAUUAAUUUUGACAAUAAAUUCUGAUAUUAAUCAAAUAAUUUCAAAUAACAAAAAGUUUCCCAACAUUUCCUAUCUUUUCAUUUUCGCAUAAAAAUAAAAUUAUACUCAUCAAAAAACUCAAUUUUUCCAUUCAAUUUUAAUACAAAAAGCAAUAAUGUUUCAAUAGACUUUAUAUAAGCUAUUAACAACAAAUUCAAAGUAAAACCCAACAACUACCGCCCCUUUACCCUCAAAUUAAAUUUGACAACUCGUCGAUAUGAAUAUCAGGCUUCAAUGAUCGUCAUACUAAAUUUUGCAUUGUUCACGUCUUUCACCGUUGAUCUGCACCCUAUUUUCAGUGAUCAAAACUUACCACACAUAUAAUUCUCUCAUUUCUUUCUCUCUCUCUCUUCUCUUUCUUUCGCCUCUUCUCUCAUCCGAGCUUUUUCUCCCUCUCCUAUUUUAUAGAAUUUAUAAGUAUAUGAUAGUACUAGAAAACUAACAUUUUAUAGUCGCAUUCCUCCAUUUUUAGCAAUAUUUUUAUAUUUUAGUUUGUUAAAAUUAUUAAUAUUGUGCCCAAAAGGUGAAGAAAGGGUUUGUAGGUAAAAGAGCAUUUAAAAGGAAGAAAAUAAGUCAAACAUGCCUUACGCCCGACCGGUCCAGCAAAUUUCCACCGGUUCAGAAAAAUAUCAGAAGCGCAAACCACAUUUUAACCCGAUCGGUCCAGAUUAUCCGACCGGUCGGACAUGCGACCAGUGGGCCAAAUUGGUUGAAAUGCUGAGAGAUUCAUUUUCCGAAGACAAACAAAACUCUAACUUUUUGAGACUACUAUCAUGUAAUGAUUAUGCCCAUUGUGGGAAUGACCAAAGUCAAAAAAUGGCUCCCUCUCCUUUCCCUACUGUCCCUCUCCCUCACCUCCGUGUUAUAUAUAUAUAUAUAUAUAUGUAGAUAGAUAUUUUGGGUAUUCCGUCUAUAAAUUAGGAAGGGAGUUAAGAGUGAAAGGGUUAGAUAUUUUUUAGUUGUUUUUAGGUUGAUUCUAGAGCCGCUCUCUCUCUAGUUUUUAAUUUAAUUUUUGAUUAAAUUAGAUUAGUCUAGUUUAAAGUCAAACACUUGUACUUUAAUUUUGUCCAAUUCCAUAUAUUUCUGUUAAUUCAUUAUUUUUAAAUUUUAUUGUCCGCCUGGAUGGCUGGUUUACGCUUCUUUAUACUUUAUUUACUUAAUUGUCCAGUAAUUCAAUUUACAAACUUUUACAAAAUUAAUCAAAUAUGAUAGAGUAAAUAGCAAUUAGCUUGAUUUAAAUCAAGAGUUAAUUUAAUCUUAGAUAAACUAGUUCUUCUUCUCUUUCACAACUUAAAAGAUUGUUUUUAAAUUGAUCAAUAUAAUACAAGCUCAAAACCCUUGAAAUUGUAUAAAUCUAAAAUUAUGUUAGACAAGAUCCAUUGUUGUAACUAAGACUUAGAAUCAUUGCUUCUAAGGGUUAUGAAACUGUAAUUAAAAAUUAUUGUCAAUUUUCAAACAUAUUUUUAGAUACAAAGGUAAUUUUCAUUACAAAACUUUUCUCAAUCAAAUUCAAUUUUAACCUUGAAAUUGAUUGAGUACAAAGAGGGGAGACACUAGAAAAUCUACAUGAAGAAUACAAUCAAGUAUUUAGAGCAUACCAUUUCUUUACAUUUAUCGCUUACUUUUUAUUUCACAAAUCUUCUAAAAAUACAAAAAAAUACAUUUUAUAUUUUAUUUCAUUUUUUUACAACAACAAAUACUCAAAUCUUGCACCACAGCUCUCUGUGGAUACGAUCUCGACUCCGGUAUUAUGCGGCUUGGUAGGUUCCUACGCUUGGGAAUGAAUUAAGAUAGAUAAACCAUCCAUCCGAAAAGUGACAAGAGCAGUAUAUUUAUAUAUAUAAUAUUAUUAUUUUUAUUAUGUUAAUGAUUUUUUUUUUUCUUUUUUUUUCCUCGGCGCCUCUUUCGGCGUCUUUCGUCG